rnacentral:rRNA from 1 species
CAAUAGCGUAUAUUAAAGUUGUUGCAGUUAAAAAGCUCGUAGUUGGAUUUCUGGUGGGAGCGAUCGGUCUGGCGCUUAGCGCGAGUACUUGCAUCGUCUCCGGCCAUCCUUGGGGAAAGUCUGUCUGGCAUUAAGUUGUCGGGCAGAGGAUCCUCAUCGUUUACUGUGAAAAAAUUAGAGUGUUCAAAGCAGGCUUAUGCCGUUGAAUAUAUUAGCAUGGAAUAAUAAGAUAGGACUUUGGUACUAUUUUGUUGGUUUGCGCACCAAAGUAAUGAUUAAUAGGGACAGUUGGGGGUAUUCGUAUUCCGUUGUCAGAGGUGAAAUUCUUGGAUUUACGGAAGACGAACUACUGCGAAAGCAUCUACCAAGGAUGUUUUCAUUAA